rnacentral:lncRNA from 10 species
GUUAAUAUUGAGUGUCUACUUGACCGGAUUGAAGGAUGCAAAGUAUUCAUCCUGGGUGUGUCUGUGGGGGUGUUGCCAAAGGAGGUUAACAUAUGAGUCAGUGAACUGGGAGAGGUAGACCCACCCUCAAUCUGGAUGAGCACCAUCCCCUGGGCUGCCAGCUGAGCUAGAAAAGGCAGACAGAAGAAGAUGACUAAGCAGACUUUCUGAGUCUUCCAGCCUUUCUCCUGUAUUGAAUGCUUUUUGCCUUGAACAUCAGACUCCAAGCUCUUCAGCUUUUGGACUCUUGGACUUACACCAGUGGUUUGCCAGGGACCCUCGGGCCUUUGGCCACAGACUGAAGGCUGCACUGUCAGUUUCCCUACUUUUGAGGUUUUGGGACUCAGACUGAUCUGCCACUGGCUUCCUUGGUCCUCAACUAGCAGACAGCCUAUCAUGGAACUUUACCUUGUGAUGGUGGAGAAACAAGAGCUCUUUCUUUUACACCAAAGAGAGGCCACGUGAGGACAUAAUGAAAAGAAGGCCAUCAGCAAAAAAAGAAGAGGACGGUCACCAGACUCCAAAUCUACUGGCACCUUGAUUCUGGACUUCCUAUUCUCCAGAACUGUGAGAAUUAAAUGUAUGUUGUUUAAGCCUCCCAGCCAACUAUUUUGUUAUAGCAGCCUGAACUGACUGACACAUAUGGAUAUUCUAUAAUUUGUUUUUUCACUCAUCUGUUGAUGGGCAUUUGAGUUAUUUAUAAUUUGGGGGUAUUAAAAAUCAAUAUUCUAUGACAAUUUAAGUGCAAGUUUUCUGUUGAGUAAGUACAAAUGGAAUGAUUGGAUCAUCUGGAGGGCAUUGCAUUGUCAAUGUUUUCCAAAGUGCUGAAAAACUAGCAUAGUUGUCACCUCAUUUUAUUUUUCAUACUCGGAACUUUGGUUUGGAUCUUUUUGACCAUCUACUCAUCAUGGUUGCACUUUCUUGCUGUCUCAUACCUGACAAUUCUCACUUGGAUAUUAGACAUUGUGAACUUGUUGCAUGUUUGAUAUUUCCUAUAAAUAUUCUUGACCUUGUUCUGCAACAUAGUGAAAGUUUUGGAAAACAGUUGAUUUUAUGAAAGUUUCAUUCUGAGUAAUUCUUAAAUUGAAUUACAUGGAUUUUUACUGUGGAUGGAGGAACAUAAACAAUUGCUGGCCCUGUAUACAACCCCUGGAAUGUUUCCUUUGUUUGUUUUGUUUCCUCUGUUUCUUUCCUUGCCCUCAGGUAUUUUUAUCAUAUGCAUGUGCUCACCAGUACUCAGUUGAAGAUCAGAGGGAGACUCCUGGUAGAUUUCCAGACUCUGUUAUUCUGUCUUGCAAACUCUACACACAUUGAUCUCCCUAGACACCCAGUUGGUCCCUUCAACUCAGAGACAUUGCCAGGUUCGG